GGCUGGGGCUCAGUGGUAGAGCACUUGCUUAGCAUGUGUGAGGCACUGGGUUCAAUUCUCAGCACCA
rnacentral:tRNA from 1 species